rnacentral:sRNA from 1 species
GCUGGGCACAGUAGUGCAUGCCUGUAAUCCCAGAGACUUGGGAGACUGAGGCAGGAGGAUCACAAGUUUGAGAACACCUUUGGGAAUUUAGCAAGGCCCUCUAAAACUUCAUGAGAACUUGUCUCAA